rnacentral:rRNA from 1 species
AGCAUAUCAAUAAGCGGAGGACAAGAAACCAACCGGGAUUGCCCUAGUAACGGCGAGUGAAGCGGCAACAGCUCAAAUUUGAAAUCUGGCUCUUUUAGAGUCCGAGUUGUAAUUUGCAGAGGGCGCUUUGGCUUUGGCAGCGGUCCAAGUUCCUUGGAACAGGACGUCACAGAGGGUGAGAAUCCCGUACGUGGUCGCUGGCUAUUGCCGUGUAAAGCCCCUUCGACGAGUCGAGUUGUUUGGGAAUGCAGCUCUAAAUGGGAGGUACAUUUCUUCUAAAGCUAAAUAUUGGCCAGAGACCGAUAGCGCACAAGUAGAGUGAUCGAAAGAUGAAAAGCACUUUGGAAAGAGAGUCAAACAGCACGUGAAAUUGUUGAAAGGGAAGCGCUUGCAGCCAGACUUGCUUGCAGUUGCUCAUCCGGGCUUUUGCCCGGUGCACUCUUCUGCAGGCAGGCCAGCAUCAGUUUGGGCGGUAGGAUAAAGGUCUCUGUCACGUACCUCUCUUCGGGGAGGCCUUAUAGGGGAGACGACAUACUACCAGCCUGGACUGAGGUCCGCGCAUCUGCUAGGAUGCUGGCGUAAUGGCUGUAAGCGGCCCGUCUUGAAACACGGACCAAGGAGUCUAACAUCUAUGCGAGUGUUUGGGUGUCAAGCCCGAGCGCGUAAUGAAAGUGAACGGAGGUAGGAACCCGCAAGGGUGCACUAUCGACCGAUCCUGAUGUCUUCGGAAGGAUUUGAGUAAGAGCAUGGCUGUUGGGACCCGAAAGAUGGUGAACUAUGCUUGAAUAGGGUGAAGCCAGAGGAAACUCUGGUGGAGGCUCGCAGCGGUUCUGACGUGCAAAUCGAUCGUCAAAUUUGGGCAUAGGGGCGAAAGACUAAUCGAACUAUCUAGUAGCUGG